CCUACGGGUGGCAGCAGUGAGGAAUAUUGGUCAAUGGACGCAAGUCUGACCCAGCAAAGUAGCGUGAAUGAUGACUGCCCUAGGGGUUGUAAACUUCUUUUAUAUGGGAAUAAAAUGUUCCACGUGUGGGAUUUUGUAUGUACCAUAUGCAUAAGGAUCGGCUAACUCCGUGCCAGCCGCCGCGGUAAUGCGGAGGGGCCGCGCGUUAUCCGGAUUUUUUGGGUUUAAAGGGAGGGUAGGUGGAAUCGUAACGCAGGUGGUAAAGGUUGGGGCCCAACCGCAAUCUUGCAGUUGAAACUGGCAGUCUUGAGUACAGGAGAGGUAAGUGGAAUUCCUAGUGUAGCGGUGAAAUGCGUAGAUAUUAGGAAGAACUCCAGUGGCGAAGGCGGUUUACUGGACUGUAACUGACGCUGAGGCUCGAAAGUGUGGGGAGCAAACAGGAUUAGAUACCCCGGUAGUC
rnacentral:rRNA from 1 species